GCAAGUCGAACGGUAACAGGAAGAGCUUGCUCUUUGCUGACGAGUGGCGCACGGGUGAGUAAUGCAUAGGUAACGUGCCCCUUAGUCUGGGAUAGCCACUGGAAACGGUGAUUAAUACUAGAUACGCCUUCUUCCUUGAUGGAAGUUGGGAAAGUUUUUCGCUAAGGGAUCGGCCUAUGUUGUAUCAGGUAGUUGGUGAGGUAAUGGCUCACCAAGCCUAUGACACAUAGCGGGUCUGAGAGGAUGAUC
rnacentral:rRNA from 1 species